GGAGAGUUGGCAGAGCGGUCGAUUGCGGCAGUCUUGAAAACUGUUGAGGUGUUACAGCCUCCUGGGGUUCGAAUCCCUAACUCUCCGCCA
rnacentral:tRNA from 1 species